UUGUGACCCGGUCCUUGAAACACGGACCAAGGAGUCUAGCAUGUGCGCGAGUCAUUGGGACAUUACUAAACCUAAAGGCGCAAUGAAAGUAAAGGUCCGCCUUGCGCGGACCGAGGGAGGAUGGGCGGUCGUUACGGCUGCCGCCUCGCACUCCCGGGGCGUCUCGUUCUCAUUGCGAGAAGAGGCGCACCAAGAGCGUACACGCUGGGACCCGAAAGAUGGUGAACUAUGCCUGGUCAGGACGAAGUCAGGGGAAACCCUGAUGGAGGUCCGUAGCGAUUCUGACGUGCAAAUCGAUCGUCGGAACUGGGUAUAGGGGCGAAAGACUAAUCGAACCAUCUAGUAGCUGGUUCCCUCCGAAGUUUCCCUCAGGAUAGCUGGCGCUCGUAGCGCACGAGUUUCAUCCGGUAAAGCGAAUGAUUAGAGGCAUUGGGGUCGAAACGGCCUCAACCUAUUCUCAAACUUUAAAUGGGUGAGAUCUCCGGCUUGCUCGAACUAUUGAAGCCGCGAGACUCGAAUCAGAGUGCCAAGUGGGCCAUUUUUGGUAAGCAGAACUGGCGCUGUGGGAUGAACCAAACGCCGAGUUAAAGCGCCUAAAUCGACGCUUAUGGGAUACCAUGAAAGGCGUUGGUAACUUAAGACAUCAGGACGGUGGCCAUGGAAGUCGGAAUCCGCUAAGGAGUGUGUAAAA
rnacentral:rRNA from 1 species